CAAUCCAAUUCUAAACCAUU
rnacentral:snRNA from 1 species